AUUGAACGCUGGCGGAAUGCUUUACACAUGCAAGUCGAACGGUAGAGGGGGCAACCCCUCGAGAGUGGCGAACGGGUGAGUAAUAUAUCGGAACGUGCCCAGUCGUGGGGGAUAACGUAGCGAAAGUUACGCUAAUACCGCAUACGAUCUAAGGAUGAAAGCGGGGGAUCGCAAGACCUCGCGCGAUUGGAGCGGCGGAUAUCAGACUAGGUAGUUGGUGGGGUAAAGGCUCACCAAGCCAGCGAUCUGUAGCUGGUCUGAGAGGACGACCAGCCACACUGGAACUGAGACACGGUCCAGACUCCUACGGGAGGCAGCAGUGGGGAAUUUUGGACAAUGGACGCAAGUCUGAUCCAGCCAUUCCGCGUGCAGGAUGAAGGCCCUCGGGUUGUAAACUGCUUUUGUACGGAACGAAAAGGUCUCUCUUAAUACGGGGGACUCAUGACGGUACCGUAAGAGUAAGCACCGGCUAACUACGUGCCAGCAGCCGCCGUAA
rnacentral:rRNA from 1 species